UGGCGGCGUGCUAUACAUGCAGGUCGAGCGAACCGACGGGAGCUUGCUCCCUUAGGUUAGCGGCGGACGGGUGAGUAACACGUGGGUAACCUGCCUGUAAGACUGGGAUAACUCCGGGAAACCGGGGCUAAUACCGGAUGCUUGAUUGAACCGCAUGGUUCAAUCAUAAAAGGCGGCUUCGGCUGCCGUUUACAGAUGGACCCGCGGCGCAUUAGCUAGUUGGUGAGGUAAUGGCUCACCAAGGCGACGAUGCGUAGCCGACCUGAGAGGGUGAUCGGCCACACUGGGACUGAGACACGGCCCAGACUCCUACGGGAGGCAGCAGUAGGGAAUCUUCCGCAAUGGACGAAAGUCUGACGGAGCAACGCCGCGUGAGUGAUGAAGGUUUUCGGAUCGUAAAGCUCUGUUGUUAGGGAAGAACAAGUACCGUUCGAAUAGGGCGGUACCUUGACGGUACCUAACCAGAAAGCCACGGCUAACUACGUGCCAGCAGCCGCGGUAAUACGUAGGUGGCAAGCGUUGUCCGGAAUUAUUGGGCGUAAAGCGCGCGCAGGCGGUUUCUUAAGUCUGAUGUGAAAGCCCCCGGCUCAACCGGGGAGGGUCAUUGGAAACUGGGGAACUUGAGUGCAGAAGAGGAGAGU
rnacentral:rRNA from 1 species